CUGGGUGGUAUGGGCACACGGGCUUCAGCGGGGCAGGUAGAAAGCUAGGGAGAAAAUGGUGCCCGCCCCCGAGGCUCACUUUCUCCCCGCCUGCGCUGUGCUCCUGGCGAGGCUCCUGGGUGUUGAAAGGAAGGAAUCCAGGAGCAAAGUUACAACAGCAGUUUCCUCUCCCGACCAAGCAAGCUUGUGAUGGCAAUAAUCGUGAACAUCCAUUUCCUCAAGUCCUUCAUGAGCUGGGAAUGAGGAGCCCCCGCCCUACAGGGAACAGCUUCCACAGAGCCUGCUGGCCAAAGGCUCAGGGCCCAGCCACCUGCCCGGGAGAGCUGGCCCGGGUGCCCUGGCCUGGGAAGCCUGGGGCACCUGUGGGAUCUUGAAGGAGUAGAUACUGAGAAAGGAGGUGACCCAGGUCUGCCUUCGGGGGGAGCCUGGUCUCAUGGAGAUGGGAGUGUAGCAGGACAGUCCAGGACAGCUCAAAGCAUCGUUAUUCCUAACGAGCAUUGUCAUCAAUAUGAAUACCCGCAUGUGGACUCCUGGUUCUCCUCCUGCUUAUUUGUUGCUUGCUGGAUCCUCAUCUCCUCCCCCAGACGGUCAGUCACCCUCAAGUUCAACCCCAAGGCUUCCGUUCCUCCCAUCUCCCUCCCUGCAGGCCUGCCAUGGCCCCAGCCCCCACUCUGUGUGUGGUUAGACGUCUGCCUGCAAGCCUGCCUUCUUGAAAUUCCAUGAAAUUUCAAAUUUUGAGCAGAGGAGCUGGCCUCCCACUCUGGCAAGGCUGGGGAGAGACACAGAGAGCAGCAGAAGAAGCCGGAGGGAGACAAGAGAGUUUGUGCCGCUAGUGUCUCCACGGAAAACCAGAGAAGAAUCAGGACUGUUCUUGGGAUUCCCUCUCCUGAGGCAGCAUCUGGGUGCACAGCCAUCUGCUUGCAUGGUGACAUAGCCCACCUAAAAUUUACCAGCCUGUAGUUAAGUGCAGCCAUUAUUAAAAUUAAUUUCUGUAAGUUUACAAUUAAAUGACAUUAAAACAAAAGAGGUGAGUACUCAGAACUCAUCACUGCCUAAUUA